rnacentral:lncRNA from 12 species
UCAUCCCUACUUUACCACUAUACCUUUUAAAAAAAAAAAAAAGUUAUACUUCUUUUUUAACUAAAAUAGAGCCUGGGAUUUGAUGAUUUCUAAUGAUCUGAAACAGUUUCAAGAUCCUGGGAGGUGACCGUUUCAGAUGCUAUUUUGAGGCGACCGUGAAUUACUCAGUAUUUAUAUCUGAGCGUAGGGUUCGUUCUCUCCCCGAAAGGUUCCCGAGGAAAAAUCCAAAUCAUAAUGGACAAAUAGUAACAGAGGUGGAGCUUUCGUUUCCUUUUUUUUUUUUUUUUUUUUUUUAAUUUUGUCUUUCUUGGCAUUCUGUGUGAUUUCUCGAGUCCAUCCUGAUUUCUUUGAAGCUGUGUUUAUUGUUCUUGCUGCCACGGAACUCUUAUCAUGAACCCUAUUAUUAUUUCGCUGGGGAAAAAAAAAAAGAAGUUUAUUGCACACCUGUACGCCUUCUACAACCUCUCUGCUGAGGCUCUAGCAGAUCUUAGCACAUUUUCCAAGGCUCUUGAAGGCUCCAAGCCUUGAUCCGUGCUGUUCCUUUUCCUGGUUAUUCUCUACGACCUUUUCCAGCCUUUAAAAACUGGGCUCAAAUAUCACUUCCUCUGCAAAGCCUGCCAGAGAACUUCCAUUUUUGCAUUCAUCACAUUGCACUGUAAUUGUUUGUUUACACAUCUGUUUCCUCAACUGGACUCAGGGCUCCCUGAGGUCGGAAAUCUUCUCUUGUUCAACUUUGCAGCUUCCUGUCGGCGGCAGGGAAGUCCAGAGGCAGAAAGGUGGCCCACCCUAAGCAAACAGGUGUUACAUGGGAAAUUUGGACACCCUGGACCACUUUUCCUCUUGAUGUUCAUUGUCAAGAUCCCUGGAACAAGCUAAAGCCUCUAUAGCUUCCCACACAGAGUUGGGGAGGAUGAAACAAGAUUGCUCACGUUACGCUAGUAGAAGCUUUGUCCUCGGCCCUGCUGCUGAGGCGUCCGAAAUAGGAGUGUGAGCAUCAACCAUACAUGUGUGGACUUUGAAGGCCUCCCCCUUGGCUCCAUCAUAUCAGGAUUCACACCAAAGAGGCUCAGCUGUUGGUGCCUCACCACGUGACGGUGAACGGGGCGCUGAGAGCCCAGAGGAUCCAUCUUGUAGAAGAGACCUCAGUCUGCCUCACUCAACCCCCAUCAUGGUGCACUGUUGCCGAGUAAAUGUGGUCCCUCAGUGUGUCCCCUGCUGUUCCAGGAGAAGGGACCGUCAACGGCCUCCUGAUGAUGGAGUUGUUCACCUGGGGAGGUGAAGGCACACGCACGGAAUUGAGCAUCAGGGAUGCUGAGACUCUGUGACAGCGCUUUCUCCAUCUGCCUCCAGUUCCUCAGCUGGAGUCAAGAGAGCCCUAUCAGGCUGUCUUUUACGUAGCGGUUGUAUUAGUUUGCUAGGGCUGCUGCAACAACGAGCCACACACCGGGCCCCUUAAGCCACGGAAAUUUAUUUCCUCGCAGUUUGGGGAGUUGGAAGUGUGCAAUCAAGGUGUCAGCAGGCAAGGGAGCAUUCCAGGCCUCUCUCCGUGGCUUGCAGAUGGCUGUCUUCUCCCUGUGUGUCUUCUGUCCUCCGCCCUCUAUGCAUGACUCUGUGCUCAAACUUUCCCUCUUUCUGAGGACCCCAGUCAUGCUGGCGUAGGGCUCACCCCAGUGACCUCACUCUCACUCAGUUACCUCUAUAAGACCUUAUCUCCCUAUAAGGCCACAUUCCAAGGUACUGAGUGUUAGGACUUCAACAGAUGGAUAUUGGGAGAGGGCUGAGGGUCCAUAAUUCAGCCCCAUAACAGCCAUCUUUCCGAUCUUAGCUAUUAGAUAAGCGGUCAGCUCUCCUAGACCUGUAGCGGUAGAUUCGGAGA